CCCUUAGAUGUCCUGGGCUGCACGCGCGCUACACUGAUGUGUCCAGUAAGCACCUAACCUCUUCCGAGAGGAGCGGGUAACCUUAGCAAAGCACAUCGUGAUGGGGAUAGAUUAUUGCAAUUAUUAGUCUUGAACGAGGAAUUCCUAGUAAGCACAAGUCAUCAGCUUGUGUUGAUUACGUCCCUGCCCUUUGUACACACCGCCCGUCGCUCCCACCGAUUGAAUGUUCCGGUGAGCUCUUCGGACUGCGCGGUCUGCAGUUUCUGCGUUCCGUGCGGAAAGUUGUGCAAACCUUAACAUUUAGAGGAAGGAGAAGUCGUAACA
rnacentral:rRNA from 1 species